AUGGAGCAAAAGACACAGCCUGGAAGAGAAAGAGAACCACCACCUGUCCAGGCCGACCUGCUCCGUCUUUGCUCUGCUGAGCAUCCACCUUGCCCGCUUCAUUUGGAAAGAAGAGCCUUUUCUAGAUGUCUCCAGGGUCAGGUAAGAGGCAACAGAGAAGAAGAUAGGAAUAUGAAAAUGCUGUUCACCUUUGAAUCGGACUCUGCUCAAAAAGAAAGAGAAACCUGGAGUGGAUUUUACAUAAGAAUAAAAAAGCAGCCACCAACAUUUUAAAAAGGAAGCCAUGGGCCAAAAUAAGAGCUGUCAAAAUUAAAAAUAGUACUCAUUACCUAGUGAAAGUUGCAUGACUGUGCGAUCUGGAAAUACUCUCAGGAUUCCUUUUUUAAAGCAAGUGUGUAAAAUGUCUAUAAAUCCC
rnacentral:lncRNA from 1 species